CAGACUUGAAAAUCAGUUUUAAAUUCAAACCAUAGAUUACCUGGGGAAAAAGAAAAAUAGGAAUGCAAUAACAGUUGAGUAAAUAGCAUGGUACAAGAGGUAAUGAAUUGUUAAAAGAAAUAGCCUGAUAAGCGAUUUAUUUUAAAAAAUUUAAGGUUUUAAAACUUGACUUAGAAUUGCAAUGGAAUAUGAAUAUGAACCUGUUUUGUUAUUAG